rnacentral:rRNA from 1 species
CCUACGGGAGGCAGCAGUAAGGAAUAUUGGUCAAUGGACGAAAGUCUGAACCAGCCAUGCCGCGUGAAGGAUUAAGGCCCUCUGGGUUGUAAACUUCUUUUAUCUGGGACGAAAAAAGGGUAUUCUUACUCACUUGACGGUACCAGAGGAAUAAGCACCGGCUAACUCCGUGCCAGCAGCCGCGGUAAUACGGAGGGUGCAAGCGUUAUCCGGAUUUACUGGGUUUAAAGGGUGCGUAGGUGGGCUUGUAAGUCAGUGGUGAAAUCUCCGGGCUUAACCCGGAAACUGCCAUUGAUACUAUAGGUCUUGAAUUAUCUGGAGGUAAGCGGAAUAUGUCAUGUAGCGGUGAAAUGCUUAGAUAUGACAUAGAACACCAAUUGCGAAGGCAGCUUACUACGGAUAUAUUGACACUGAGGCACGAAAGCGUGGGGAUCAAACAGGAUUAGAUACCCUGGUAGUCCACGCCCUAAACGAUGGAUACUCGACAUCAGCGAUACACUGUUGGUGUCUGAGCGAAAGCAUUAAGUAUCCCACCUGGAAGUACGAUCGCAGAUUGAAACUCAAGGAAUUGACGGCUGAGAGNGCGAGACGACGACGAGGAGAGG